rnacentral:misc_RNA from 1 species
UUUUGAAGUGGUCACUGGAGCUCUCACUUUUGUGGCACCUCUACACGUUGUCACUAAAAGUUGUUGCAGAAAACCACAGUUCUUGUAGUGUGGGUUGUACUUCCAUGUCGAGGAAGACAAGAAAGAGUUAGCGAAAGAUAUAAGCACAAUUGCACGAUUGGGAGUCCAGUUAAUAUUUCCAACGAAGGUGGAGUCGGUUAAUG